rnacentral:rRNA from 1 species
CGCACGUGGCCUGCAGUCGACGAUUCUACGGGAGGCAGCAGUGGGGAAUAUUGCGCAAUGGGCGAAAGCCUGACGCAGCAACGCCGCGUGGACGAUGAAGGCCUUCGGGUUGUAAAGUCCUGUCAGGAGGGACGAAGUCUCGCUUGCGAGAUGACGGUACCUCCAGAGGAAGCCCCGGCUAAUUACGUGCCAGCAGCCGCGGUAAUACGUAGGGGGCAAGCGUUGUCCGGAUUUAUUGGGCGUAAAGAGCACGUAGGCGGUUUACCAGGUCAGGUGUGAAAACUUCGGGCUUAACCCGGAGCCUGCACUUGAAACCGGUAGACUAGAGUCUAGGAGAGGAGAGUGGAAUUCCCAGUGUAGCGGUGAAAUGCGCAGAUAUUGGGAAGAACACCGGUGGCGAAGGCGGCUCUCUGGACUGCGACUGACGCUGAGGUGCGAAAGCUAGGGUAGCAAACAGGAUUAGAUACCCUGGUAGUCCUAGCCGUAAACGAUGGGCACUAGGUGUGGGGAGUUAUCGACGCUCUCCGUGCCGUCGCUAACGCAUUAAGUGCCCCGCCUGGGGAGUACGGCCGCAAGGCUAAAACUCAAAGGAAUUGACGG